rnacentral:rRNA from 1 species
CGGCGGACGGGUGAGUAACGCGUGGGUAACCUGCCUCAUACAGGGGGAGUAACAGUUAGAAAUGACUGCUAAUACCGCAUAAGACCACAGCACCGCAUGGUGCAGGGGUAAAAACUCCGGUGGUAUGAGAUGGACCCGCGUCUGAUUAGUUAGUUGGUGGGGUAACGGCCUACCAAGGCGACGAUCAGUAGCCGACCUGAGAGGGUGACCGGCCACAUUGGGACUGAGACACGGCCCAAACUCCUACGGGAGGCAGCAUG